GACGAACGCUGGCGGCGUGCUUAACACAUGCAAGUCGAACGGCAAGGCCCUGCUUUCGUGGGGUGCUCGAGUGGCGAACGGGUGAGUAACACGUGAGUAACCUGCCCUUGACUUUGGGAUAACUUCAGGAAACUGGGGCUAAUACCGGAUAGGAGCUCCUGCUGCAUGGUGGGGGUUGGAAAGUUUCGGCGGUUGGGGAUGGACUCGCGGCUUAUCAGCUUGUUGGUGGGGUAGUGGCUUACCAAGGCUGUGACGGGUAGCCGGCCUGAGAGGGUGACCGGCGACAAGGGGACUGAGAUACGGCCCAGAGGCCUACGGGAGGCAGUAGUGGGAAAUAUGGCACAGUGGGCGGGAGCGUGUGGCAGCAGCGCCGCGUGCGGGAUGACGGCCUUCGGGUUAUAAACAGCUGUCGCCUGUGACGAAGCGGGAGUGACGGUAAUGAGUAAAGAAGCACCGGCUAACUACGUG
rnacentral:rRNA from 1 species